ACGGCUCAGUAACACGUAGUCAACCUGCCCUGAAGACAUGGAAAACCCCGGGAAACUGGGAUUAAUCCGUGAUAGGUCAUCUCAUCUGGAAGGAGAGAUGGCUUAAAGGGGUGCGAGAGCUUCUUUCUUGUAUCCGCUUCAGGAUGGGACUGCGGCCGAUCAGGCUGUUGGUGGGGUAAUGGCCCACCAAACCUGUAACCGGUACGGGCCUUGAGAGAGGGGGCCCGGAGAUGGACACUGAGAGAAGGGUCCAGGUCCUACGGGGCGCAGCAGGCGCGAAACCUUCGCAAUGCGCGAAAGCGUGACGAGGUUAAUCCGAGUGGUCCCCGCUGAGGGGAUCUUUUGUCGGCUGUAAAAAGGCCGGUGAAUAAGGGGAGGGCAAGUCUGGUGUCAGCCGCCGCGGUAAUACCAGCUCCUCGAGUGGUCGGGGCGAUUAUUGGGCCUAAAGCAUCCGUAGCCUGUUCUGUAGGUCCUCUGUCAAAUCCAACGGCUUAGCCGUUGGCCCGCAGAGGAUACCGCAGGACUAGGAGGCGGGAGAGGUGGACGGUACUCCACGUGUAGGGGUAAAAUCCUUUGAUCCGUGGAAGACCACCAGUGGCGAAGGCGGUCCACCAGAACGCGCUCGACGGUGAGGGAUGAAAGCUGGGGGAGCGAACCGGAUUAGAUACCCGGGUAGUCCCAGCCGUAAACGAUGCAAGCUAGAUGAUCCGGUCGCAAAUCGCGAUCGGAGUGUCGCAGGGAAGCCGUUAAGCUUGCCGCCUGGGGAGUACGGUCGCAAGACUGAAACUUAAAGGAAUUGG
rnacentral:rRNA from 1 species